rnacentral:rRNA from 1 species
AAUAACAAGGUCUCCGUAGGUGAACCUGCGGAGGGAUCAUUACACAAAUAUGAAGGCGGGCUGGAACCUCUCGGGGUUACAGCCUUGCUGAAUUAUUCACCCUUGUCUUUUGCGUACUUCUUGUUUCCUUGGUGGGUUCGCCCACCACUAGGACAAACAUAAACCUUUUGUAAUUGCAAUCAGCGUCAGUAACAAAUUAAUAAUUACAACUUUCAACAACGGAUCUCUUGGUUCUGGCAUCGAUGAAGAACGCAGCGAAAUGCGAUAAGUAGUGUGAAUUGCAGAAUUCAGUGAAUCAUCGAAUCUUUGAACGCACAUUGCGCCCUUUGGUAUUCCAAAGGGCAUGCCUGUUCGAGCGUCAUUUGUACCCUCAAGCUUUGCUUGGUGUUGGGCGUCUUGUCUCUAGCUUUGCUGGAGACUCGCCUUAAAGUAAUUGGCAGCCGGCCUACUGGUUUCGGAGCGCAGCACAAGUCGCACUCUCUAUCAGCAAAGGUCUAGCAUCCAUUAAGCCUUUUUUCAACUUUGACCUCGAUCAGUAGUCCCACCCC